rnacentral:lncRNA from 1 species
AUUAUGCUAUGCGAUAUAAUUUUUACAGGUCUGAAGCCGGAUGGUUUCAUCAGCUUUGUCUGGGUAUGGGCUUUCUUGAUAGCUUGCAUCCAUGGUAUUGGCAUGUCCUUGGAGUCCCUGGUGUUCGGUAUGUUUUCGUACUGUCUCCUCCUCUCAAUUUCUGGCGACUCUCUUGUGCGGCCUUGUUCCAUAUUGUCUACUUGUUUUGAUAUUCUGGCAUGGUCCCAGUGUACUUGUACAUUUUCAGCACAACAUUUUUUCUGCUAACGCAGCUCCCUCUUCCUUCCCUUACAUCUUUUCGAUGCUCGUUUGGCCUUUCUAACGUGUGCAUUGUAG